rnacentral:rRNA from 1 species
GUAGGUGGCAAGCGUUGUCCGGAAUUAUUGGGCGUAAAGCGCGCGCAGGCGGUUCUUUAAGUCUGAUGUGAAAGCCCACGGCUCAACCGUGGAGGGUCAUUGGAAACUGGAGAACUUGAGUACAGAAGAGGAAAGCGGAAUUCCACGUGUAGCGGUGAAAUGCGUAGAGAUGUGGAGGAACACCAGUGGCGAAGGCGGCUUUUCUGGUCUGUAACUGACGCUGAGGCGCGAAAGCGUGGGGAGCAAGCAGGAUUAGAUACCCUGGUAGUCCACGCCGUAAACGAUGAGUGCUAAGUGUUAGGGGGUUUCCGCCCCCCUUAGUGCUGCAGCUAACGCAUUAAGCACUCCGCCCUGGGAGUACGGCCGCAAGGCUG